rnacentral:misc_RNA from 1 species
GAUGAAGAACGUAGCGAAAUGCGAUACGUAAUGUGAAUUGCAGAAUUCAGCGAAUCAUCGAGUCUUUGAACGCACAUUGCGCCCCCUGGUAUUCCGGGGGGCAUGCCUGUCCGAGCGUCAUUGCUGCCCUCAAGCACGGCUUGUGUGUUGGGCCUCCGUCCUCCUCCCGGGGGACGGGCCCGAAAGGCAGCGGCGGCACCGCGUCCGGUCCUCGAGCGUAUGGGGCUUCGUCACCCGCUCUUGUAGGCCCGGCCGGCGCUUGCCGACACAUCAAUCUUUUUUCCAGGUUGACCUCGGAUCAGGUAGGGAUACCCGCUGAACUAAAGCAUAUCAAUAAGCGGAGGA